AUCUCUUGGUUCCAGCAUCGAUGAAGACGCAGCGAAUGCGCAAGUAAUGUGAAUUGCAGAAUUCAGUGAAUCAUCGAAUCUUUGAACGCACAUUGCGCCCCUCGGUAUUCCGGGGGGCAUGCCUGUUCGAGCGUCAUUA
rnacentral:rRNA from 1 species